AGCUGAGGCUUGUCGACAGCUCUGGAGAGUGUCGGGACAAGUCCGGGUCGCGUUGGCGCGAAGUGGACGCCAAACGGGCCUUGUGGGAACUUGAGAGCAGCGUGUAUCUUGAAGAUCUGCGAAAUAGCAGAUUUUCAGUGAGCUGUACCGGUACAAAUCUGGGUUUGUACCGGUACAAAGUGGAAGCAGGGUGCAAGUUGACUUUUGGCCAUCUUGUCACAUCACCCCCCUUUAACCCUUACCUUGGAGCAGAGAGGAGAGAGAGAGGGGAGCUUCUUCAUGCUGCUGCUGCUGUGCUUCUUCUUCCUCUCCUUCUACUUCCCUUAGCAACCUAGAGUGUUGGAGGAGCUCAAGAGAAGCUCGAGCUUCGUCGACGACGCGCCGCGGAGCGGAUCGAGCGAGUUUUCGACGAGGUGCUGCUCGCAGGGAGGGUUUGUCGAGAGUUUUGACUCGUAUUCCGCGCAGGAGCAUCGGAACGUGACGCGACUUGAUUCGUUGGAACCGAGACUUCGAGACGAAUCCAUAGGAUCCUUACUCGCCCGAUUUGGAGAAGGAGUGUCGAAACGCGACGAAAUUUGGCGUGCUAGAUUCGCGACUUCGAGACGAAGAUUCUGAGCCCAAGAUCGCGAUUUUUGGAGCAGGUUCCAGCGUCGACGUUUCGUAUUCUGGCCCGUUCUCUGCGUAGGAGCGUCGGAAUUCAGCGAAACCUGGGCCAUUGGAUUCGUGACUUCGAGACGAAGCUUCAGAACCCUUGUUUGCUGAAUUUGGAUAAGCAGGAGAACCGGGGACUUCGACGGACCAGCGAGGGAUCAAUUUGGAUCCGGGCCACUUUCUUCGCUGCCAGGAGUUGCUUGAGAGGGCCUUCUGUUUCGGCUGCUGCUCCUUCUGAGGCGGACCGCGGGAAAGGCGUGGCGAGUUAGAGCCUACCCUUCGAGUACAGUGCUAGAGGACUCCCGCUGCAGGUAGUGACAGUUUUUGUUCGGGCGCUUUUGUACAUACAGUUGAACUCGCUGGAGCGAGUAGUGUUCUUUUGUAUCCGUGGCUGAUGUAGGUAUAUAAAGUUUGUUAUUUCUA